rnacentral:rRNA from 1 species
UACGAGGGGGGCGAGCGUUGUUCGGAAUUAUUGGGCGUAAAGGGUGCGUAGGCGGUUUUGUAAGUCUUAUGUGAAAUCUAUGGGCUCAACUCAUAGACUGCAUGAGAAACUGCAGGGCUUGAGUAUGGGAGAGGUGAGUGGAAUUCCUGGUGUAGCGGUGAAAUGCGUAGAUAUCGGAAGGAACAUCAGUGGCGAAAGCGAACUUCCUGGACCAAUACUGACGCUCAUGUGCGAAAGCGUGGGGAGCAAACAGG